GACGAGCGCUGGCGGCGUGCUUAACACAUGCAAGUCGAACGGAAAGGCCCUGCUUUUGUGGGGUGCUCGAGUGGCGAACGGGUGAGUAACACGUGAGUAACCUGCCCUUGACUUUGGGAUAACUUCAGGAAACUGGGGCUAAUACCGGAUAGGAGCUCCUGCUGCAUGGUGGGGGUUGGAAAGUUUCGGCGGUUGGGGAUGGACUCGCGGCUUAUCAGCUUGUUGGUGGGGUAGUGGCUUACCAAGGCUUUGACGGGUAGCCGGCCUGAGAGGGUGACCGGCCACAUUGGGACUGAGAUACGGCCCAGACUCCUACGGGAGGCAGCAGUGGGGAAUAUUGCACAAUGGGCGGAAGCCUGAUGCAGCAACGCCGCGUGCGGGAUGACGGCCUUCGGGUGGUAAACCGCUUUCGCCUGUGACGAAGCGUGAGUGACGGUAAUGGGUAAAGAAGCACCGGCUAACUACGU
rnacentral:rRNA from 1 species